ensembl:lncRNA
AAAAGCUUUGUGCGCCGUUUUAGCCUUGAUGUGGAGUGCAGAUUGUGCACGCAAGUCUGAAAGUUCUCCAGGAUGCGAGCUCUUGUGGAGAAUGAGCUAAGCGGAGUGGUGCACGGCAGAAUUCUUCGAGGUUGGAGCGUAGCUGCUGACUUCAGCCACUGAAGGGAGGACCUUGCGCACAACGAGGAGAGCUGCCUCCGUUUCUGUCUCUCUCUCACACUCUCUUUUUGCUUUCUCAGUCUCACAGAGAUAGGCAGCAUCCCUCAGCCCAGGCACUGAAAAUAGAAGAUAUUAAAGGGGGGAAAAAAAAUAAAGGAGAAGAAAAGACGGGAUUAUAAAAACAGGGAGUAAUCAAAGGAAAUCUGAAGCGAGGACAAAAAGAGUUCAAAAUAGAUUUGCAUCUCAGGCUCUUGUGUUUGUUGUUUCGCGGGGCUAAACUGAAGAGAUUUGGGUCGUGCAUUGCUUUGCUUCAGCCAGCCUGUGGAGUAUAGGAUCACAAAUAGCAUUUCAAGGCCAUGGACAUUGCUUUCCUCCUUCUAGGCUGACCAUGACAAACUGUUUUGUUUUCAUGUGAUCCUGCUGUGAAUUCUGCUGUUGCAACGGUCUUCUGCAAGCAAAAAUUCAUCCCACACAUUGACAUCAGUAUUCAGAAGGCCUGACAGAUUUAAGAAGCAAACCCUAACGAGAAGGCUCUUUAGUAGAACAAAAACAUGGCCAAGGGGAAGAUCUCUUCUCCAUGUGGUAAGCACCUGCUUGUUAUUUACUAAUAUUUUAUGGUGGCACACCAUAUUGUUUAGUUCAGAUAAACCACUAAAAUAUGCAAAAUGUAUUCUGAAAACAUCAGUCUGCAACAACAAACAAACAAACUAAUCAAUCUAUAUUUAACCACAUUUCCAUUUCAGUGAGCUUUUAAGGUCUCCACAGACGGCUGUUGUUUAAAGAUGUAUAUUCACCGUCUAACCCCUUCACACACAUGCAUAAAUAUACUGACGUAUACAUACUUAUAACUGUAUGACACAGAGUUGAUAUAGAUUUAUUUUCCCAAAUGCCUCCAAAAGUCGUGGAAAGCAGGGGGCUGGUUGAGUAACGGCGUAAUAAUCCUGGUACAGUUGAAGUAAGGAAUCAUGCAUCAAAGCACUUGCCAUCUGUAGGAGGUCUUGAGUCCCUCAAGAUGCAUUAGGUCUCUGUAAUGGGUUUGGCAAGGUGCAGCAAUAAUGGACGGAUUCUAGAAACAAAGUUAUUGAUUGUCAUACAGCCAGAGCUGUGCAAAAUUCAGAACUGAAGAAUUGGCUCCUUUUCAGUUCAUAACUGUGUCUCUGAAUUGAAUUGGCCACACCUCACAGAAAGCUGAAUUAGAGUGAGAGGAAGGGGAAUUAAUUGAAUUGCAAUUCAAUGAAAUUCAACCCAGGUAAUGCAUUCUGAGAAAUGAAGUGUUCCACAAAAGUUAAUUUAUUAAAAAAUUAUGAAAUGCAUUAAAUUA